rnacentral:misc_RNA from 1 species
GAUGAAGAACGUAGCGAAAUGCGAUACUUGGUGUGAAUUGCAGAAUCCCGUGAACCAUCGAGUCUUUGAACGCAAGUUGCGCCCGAAGCCAUUAGGCCGAGGGCACGCCUGCCUGGGUGUCACACGUCGUUGCCCCCCAUCUACUCCUUCGGGAUUGCGGGGGGCGGAUGAUGGCCUCCCGUGCGCCUCGUCGCGCGGUUGGCAUAAAUGCCAAGUCCUCAGCGACGCACGCCACGACAAUCGGUGGUUGCGAAACCUCGGUUGCCCGUCGUGUGCGGUCGUCGCGCAUCGAGGGCUCGAAAAAAUUGCCGGGCUCCGGCUCGGCUUUCAACGCGACCCCAGGUCAGGCGGGGUUACCCGCUGAAUUUAAGCAUAUCAAUAAGCGGAGGA